UCAAUUGUCUUCUUCCUGAUCAUUGAAAACUGACCAUGGCCACCUCAACUGAUCCCAAGACCAUUGAUGACAAUUCUGCUAUCUCUGAAAUUUCCAAAAUCUCCUCUGAACCUAUUUCCCAUCAAUAUGAACAACCUAAUCUUCAAAUCACCAUUCAUAAAUUGAACGGUCAAAACUUCCUCCAAUGGUCCUGAUCUGUGACCUUGUAUCUCACUGGUCGUGGUCAUUUGGGCUAUCUCACAUGUGAUGUGUUUGCACUAGCCUCCACUGAUCCCUCCACCAAAUGGACCUCCGAAAAUUCCCUGAUCAUCUUCUGGCUUGUCAACUUUGUAGAAGUUGACAUAGGCCGAACCUAUCUGUUUCUCUCUACUGCGAAAGAAGUGUGGGAUUCUGUCAAAGAAACUUUUUCUGACCUUGAAAAUUCGGCUCAAGUUUUUGAACUCAAGACCAAACUUCAGGACCAAAAACAACAGGCUCUUUCUGUAACUCAAUAUUAUAGUAUUUUGUAUAAUCUUUGGCAAGAAAUUGACCUGUUUUAUGUUCCAAAGUGGAAGUGUUCUGAUGAUGCAUCUUCCUACAAGAAAAUGCUUGAUCGAGAGAGACUAUUUGAUUUUUUGCAUGGCUUGAACCGGGACCUAGAUGAAGUUCGUGGUUGUCUCCUUGGAAAGUCUCCUCUUCCCUCGGUUCGUGAAGCCUUUGCUGAGGUCCGUCGUGAGGAAAGCCGCAAAACGGUAAUGAUGGGACCCCUUCAAACCAUUGAAACAAAUCAUUCCGCCCUUGCUGCCCAGCGACCCAAUCUCAAUACUGAUUUACGUGGGCCACAACGUGACCAUCCCUGGUGUGAUCAUUGCAGUAAGAUAGGCCAUACAAAGGCUACUUGCUGCAAAAUCUAUGGUAAACUUGCGGAUUGGAAGCCCGAAACAGAAAUAAUGUUGUUGGAAACAAUUCUGAUGGGCGCGCUCUUACUGCUGCACAAGCCUCGUCAUUUCCUUUCACACCUGACCAGAUUGCUCAACUCCAUCAGCUCCUUAACACUGCUUCCGCAUCUGAUCUAAAGGCUUCCUCUGCCCCAGGAAAUGUCCUCGGGGAAGACGAUUGGGAGUGCGUGGGAAUGUAGGGGUUGUAUUACUUUGAAGUUGAUCUGCCACUUGCUCAAAUUAAUGAAAGUUUGCAUUUUGGUUGUACUGUUUCUAGUGAUUUUGAUAUUAUGAGAUGGCAUUAUCGUCUAGGACAUCUUAGUUUUCCCUAUCUAAAACAUUUGUUUCCAAGUAUGUUUCGAAAUAAAAAUUUCAGCAUGUUUAAAUGUGAAGUAUGUCAAUUUGCAAAGCAUACUCGUAUUGUGUUUCGCUUUCGCCCUUAUAAAGCAUCUCAACCAUUUACUCUUAUUCAUAGUGACAUGUGGGGGCCAUCCCGUGUUACCAAUCUUUCAAAUACUUGUUGGUUCAUCUCUUUCAUAGAUGAUCAUACACGCUUAACUUGAGUAUUUCUUUUAAAAGAAAAAUUUGAUGUUGAUGCCAUUUUUAAAAAAUUUCACUCCAUGAUUAAAAACCAAUUUCAAGCUAAUCUUCAAGUCUUUCACACAGAUAAUGGCACUGAAUAUUUUAAUUCCAUCUUAAAAGAUUAUUUUUCUCUCUAAUGGCAUAAUCCACAAAAGUUCAUGUGUCAGCACUCCUCAACAGAAUGGGAUAGCUGAACGGAAAAAUCGGCAUUUAUUAGAGGUUGUUAGGGCUUUCAUGUUUACUACUUUAGUCCCUAAAUAUUUUUGGGGGAAGCUAUUUUAACAGCGGCUUAUUUAAUCAAUAGAAUGCUAUCUCGUGUCUUACAAUUACAACAUCAAACUCCAAUCUCGUUGCUUCUCAAAGUUUAUCCUCAAACUCACCUUAUAUCUGAAAUUCCACUCAGAACGUUUGGUUGUACCUCCUAUGUUCAUGUAGUAGGUUCGAAUCAUAGCAAGCUUGAUCCUUGUUCUCAUAAGUGUGUUUCUUGGUUAUUCCUCCACAAAAAAAGGUUACAAAUGUUAUAAUCCUAUCACCUGACACAGGCAUGUCUCUUUAGAUGUUAUAUUUCAUGAAAAACAAUCAUUUUAUUCCAAUACUUCGCUUCAGGGAGAGACUGAUAGGGAUGCUCAAUGUUGGGAUACUUGUCUACUAAUGAUAGGACCCGAGUUUGGUCCACUUUCUGAUCAUUCUGAUUCGAUUUCUGAUCCUAUUUCUGCCAUAAACUCUGAAACUAUCAGACCUGAAAUGGAAAACGAAGGCCAAAGGAAUUUAGACAAAGAGUUGCUGGUUUAUACUCGGCGACGGGGCAAAACUCAAGUAAUACAGCCAGCUAAAGACCCUGCAUCUCAUGAAUCUGAACCAGCGACAAAUCCUACUGUAAGUAACUCUUUGAACCCCAUCUCACUAGAUUCUAAUCCUAAUCUUGAGUAUCCUAGUGUGAUAGAAUCAGAUCUGCCCAAUGCAAAAAGAAAGGGAGUUAGGAGCCGUACUCUACAUCCUAUAUCUAAAUAUGUGUGCUACAACAGACUCAAAUCAAAGUUCAAAGCCUUUGCUGCCAAAAUCGAGGAAGUAAUUAUUCCAAGGAAUAUUGAGGAAGCUCUUUCGGUUUCUGAAUGGAAGAAAGCAGUUGAUGAAGAAAUGGGAGCACUGGAAAAAAAUACAACCUGGAAAAUUGUUGUCUAGUCGAAGAACCACCAUGUGGUAGGAUGCAAAUGGGUUUUUUCGGUAAAAUACAAAGCUGAUGGCACUGUAGAUCGAUACAAGACAAGGCUGGUGGCAAAGGGGUUUACUCAAACAUAUGACUACACAGAAACUUUCACACCAGUAGCAAAACUGAAUACAGUAAGAAUCCUAUUAUCAGUAGCUGCCAAUCUCGACUGACCAUUACAACAACUUGACAUAAAGAACGCCUUCUUGAAUGGAAAUUUGGAAGAGGAGGUGUAUAUGAAAAUCCCGCCAGGUUUUGAAGGAAGAUAUGGAAAAGAAAAUGUCACUUAAAGAAAUCUCUCUAUGGCUUGAAGCAAUCACCAUGUGCAUGGUUUGAGCGGUUCAAUCAAGUGAUUAAGAAGCAUGGGUGCAAACAAGGUUAAUCAGAUCAUACAUUAUUUCUCAAACAUUCAAAAGAUGGUAAGAUUGUACUUCUUAUUGUCUGUGGGUGACAUGAUUCUAUCUGGGAAUGAUCUGAAUGAGAUGGAGAACCUUAAAAAAUUGCUAGCUCAAGAAUUUGAAGUAAAAGAUCUAGGUCAAAUGAGAUACUUUCUAGGUAUGGAGAUUGCAAGAACCAAACAAGGGAUUUCAGUCUCUCAACGUAAAUAUGUUAUUGAUUUACUCAAAGAAACAGGAAUGCUUGGGUGUAAACCAGUUGCAACACCAGUGGAACCCAAAGGAAAGUACAAACAGGUGAUAACAGAGAAACCGGUGGACAAAGGGAUGUACCAACGACUGGUGGGAAAAUUGAUAUAUUUAUCCCAUACAAGACCUGAUAUUGGCUUUGCAGUAAGCUUGGUUAGUCAGUAUAUGCACAGUCCUUUAGAAGAACACUUGGAUGCAGUCUACAGGAUAUUAAGAUAUCUGAAAUAGACACCAGGAAAGGGUCUAUUGUUCAGAAAGAAUGAAGAGAGGAGUGUAGAAGCCUUUAUAGAUGCUGGUUGGGCAGCUUCAAUUGAGGACAGAAGGUCUACUUCUGGAUAUUGUUCUAAGGUAUGGGGGAACCUGGUUACUUGGACGAGCAAAAAGCAACAUGUUGUUGCAAGAAGCAGUGCGAAAGUUGAGCUUAGAGCUCUU